CAGGCGCAUGGCCGUCGGAGCUCCCCUGUUCAGCUUCGCCACGCUGCUCCCCUGCUCUCCCAUGCGUCCUCCUCCGCCGCCGCAGCUUCCUCCUUCGCCGCUCCCUCCUACCUUGCGGCAGCCCCCUUGCCUACCUCCUGAAUCUCCCCUCUUUCACCACAAAAAUCGGCUCUUCUCCUCCCACCGUGUCUCCUGCUCGAGCGCAGGGACGACACAUCCUCCUCGUCGCCCUUGCCGCCGGAGGAGGCACGGGGCAUGCAGCAGUGGCUCGUGCUGUGCCUGCGCGACCUCGGGUGCGAGUGGGCCGCCGCGUCGCGGGCCUACGCGCCGGUCGCCGCCUUGGCCGUGCGCCCGUCCGCGGAGGAGGAGGAGGAGGGGGAUUCCGUUCGCCGGCAAGGCUUCUUCAGUGGACUGCGUCUUGCAUCCGAUCGAGCAUUUGGCCAUGCUGCUGCUCACACUCAAGCUCGGCAUAAAGACAGAGAUGCAGAAAUAGGCUGGCCAAAAUCAGUUAGGAGGAAUACUUUCCCAAUCUUUCCAGAUUCAGUUAAGCUAAUGUAAGAUUAGCAGCAAAACAAACACAGGUUAUUGUGAAUUGAUAGCAACAGCACCUUCCUCUGACCAAAACAAACACAGAAGACGUUGAUCCACAGGAAGAAAGCCAACAGGAUGCCUUGCAAAUCGAUUUCGAACAGGAAAUUGGAGCACCACGAGCAAGCAGGCAGAGGAGCAGAUUUACAGAGGGGUGCUUCUUCUCACUGGCAGCAGCACGAGCAGGGGAGCUACGGGCGGAGGAGCAACAACUUGCACAGGAGCAGGCCCGCUGGGAGCUUGAGGACGAGCUUGAGGUCGAGGCCCGCCGGGAGCUCCAGCUCCAGCCGCUCGAGACGCAGGCGCGCGCAGGUCCUGGGCGGCGGGAAGGGAUAGCGGCGGCGCAGGCCCUAGGCGGCGGGAGGGCAUAGCGGCGGCGCAACCCUGGGCUGGCGGGAGGGGUCACCGCGGGAGGGGAUAGCGGCGGUGCAGCGCCCUUCAGCCGCGGAGUAGGUGGCCGGCGGGUGGCGCAACUUGUCUCCAUGCGGGCGAGUAUUUAACUAAAAACUACCACAAUUCACGGAAACGUGACAGAAAACUACCACUUUACGAUUUUGUUCCGAAAACUACCACUUUUUUAUUAAUCCGUGGCAAAAAACUAUCAAGUGCGAAAACUGCUCGCUUUGCCUGGGUUAAACCCGAAUCUGACUGCCCGACCCCACACAUAAGCGGGCUAAAAAUGCAAUCGAGUCCCUAGUUUUUCUUAAAAAAAGCAAUCGGGUCCCUGAAAGAAAAAAAAGAAGCAAUCGGGUCCUUGCUGGCGAGCUCCUCGCCGGAGCCGGCCAGCACCACGCCGGCGAGCUCAUCGCCAGGGCCGGCCAGCAACACGCCUGGAGAAGAUGGCUGCUGGCUGCGACAGCCAUGGCCGGCGGGAAUCAGCAGCGGCAGCGGGCUGGAACCGGCCGUGCUGCUUGGCUGCUCCCCGCCCGUGCUCGAGCUGUCCGACGGCGCGGAGCUCCUCCUCCUCUCUGAUGGGCGGAUCUAGGCAGAGCCGCGUCCAGCCGGCGUGGAGCUGUCUGGCGGCGCGAAGCUAAGCUAGGCGCGUCCUGGUGGCGUCCGGCGGCGCGGAGCUAAGCAGGCGGCGGGGCGGAGCUCCUUCACCUCCUCUCUGCGGCGGCGCGGAGCGUAGCAGGAGACGGCAGCGUGGGUGCUGCGUGCCGCGGCCACCCCUCGGUCGUCGGCUUGCACGGCAUCGCGCGGGACCUCCGCAGCGGGCAGUGCAGCCUCGUCCUGGAGCACGUCGGCCCGAGCCUCGGCCACGUCCUGCGCGCUCGCCGCCGGCCGUUCACGGAGGAGGAGACGCGCCGCGUCAUGCGGCAGCUCCUGAGCGGCGCCGCGAGGAUGCACGAGCGCGGCAUCGUCCUCGUCGGCGGCGAGGGCGCGGUGAAGAUAUGUGACCUCGGGCUGACCUCGGACUGGAUUGCUUUUUUUAAGAAAAACUAGAGACCCGAUUGCAUUUUUAGCCCGCUUAUGUGUGGGGUCGGGUAGUCAGAUUCGGGUCUAACCCAGGCAAAGCGUGCAGUUUUCUCACUUGGUAGUUUUUUGCAACGGAUUAUUAAAAAAGUGAUAGUUUUCGGGACAAAAUCGUAAAAUGAUAGUUUUCUGUCACGUUUCCGCGAAUUGUGAUAGUUUUUGGUUAAAUACUCCAUGCGGGCGGCACAGGUGGGCAAGGGCGGCGAAGGUUCGCGCGGUGGCACAGGUUAGCCCCUGCGGGUGCCGACGAUGGCUGGGGCGACCACGGUGCGCGCGGACGACAGCAGGAGGAAGAAACAGAGGGGGCUGGAUUAGCAUAAGUUUAAAAGAUUAAGUGUUUUUUUUUUGAAAAAUUGUAAAUGAACUAAGGAAAACUUUUCCCGGACAGAGGGAGUACCAACAUACAAGUGGGCGGCAUAUAAAGUUUAGUCAAAGUUUAUUUUAUUUAGUCAAACUGACAGGCAAAGUUGACCAAAAAAUAUGGAAAGUACUUGUAGCACUAUUUUUGAACUAGCUGCAUUCGGCAAAAUCAAUGCUCAU